AGAGUUUGAUCAUGGCUCAGAACGAACGCUGGCGGCAUGGAUUAGGCAUGCAAGUCGAACGCCGAUAGCAAUAUCGGAGUGGCGCAAGGGUGAGGAACACGUGAGUAAUCUGCCCUCGAGUUGGGAAUAGCUCCGGGAAACUGGAAUUAAUACCGAAUAACAUUGCGGGACCGCAUGGUUCUGCACUUAAAGCAGCAAUGCGCUCGAGGAGGAGCUCGCGUCCCAUUAGCUAGUUGGUGAGGUAACGGCCCACCAAGGCCAUGAUGGGUAGCUGGUCUGAGAGGACGAUCAGCCACAGUGGGACUGAGAACUGCCCACACUCCUACGGGAGGCUGCAGUCGAGAAUUUGGGCAAUGGGCGAAAGCCUGACCCAGCAAUGCCGCGUGCGGGAUGAAGGUCUUCGGAUUGUAAACCGCUGUCAAGAGGGACGAAAUUUGACGGUACCUCUGAAGGAAGCCACGGCUAACUACGUGCCAGCAGCCGCGGUAAUACGUAGGUGGCGAGCGUUGUUCGGAUUUAUUGGGCGUAAAGGGUCCGCAGGUGGUUGGUUAAGUUUGAUGUGAAAUCCCGGAGCUCAACUCCGGAACUGCAUUGAACACUGACCGACUAGAGUAUCGGAGAGGAGAUUGGAAUUCCAGGUGUAGCGGUGGAAUGCGUAGAUAUCUGGAAGAACACCGAAAGCGCAGGCAGAUCUCUGGACGAUUACUGACACUCAGGGACGAAAGCAUGGGUAGCAAACAGGAUUAGAUACCCUGGUAGUCCAUGCCCUAAACGUUGUCAACUUGAUGUGAGCGGUGUUACUCCCGUUCGUGUCGAAGCUAACGCGAUAAGUUGACCGCCUGGGGACUACGGCCGCAAGGCUAAAACUCAAAGAAAUUGACGGGGGCCCGCACAAGCGGUGGAGCAUGUGGCUUAAUUCGAGGCAACGCGAAGAACCUUACCUGGAUUUGACAUUGAUUGACCGGCGUGGAAACACGUCUUUCCGCAAGGACAUGAAAACAGGUGCUGCAUGGCUGUCGUCAGCUCGUGAUGUGAAUUGUUCGGUUAAGUCCGGCAACGAGCGCAACCCGUGUUAUCAGUUGCCAGCAGGUAAAGCUGGGCACUCUGAUGAGACUGCCCGUGUCAAGCGGGAGGAAGGAGCGGAUGACGUCGAGUCCGUAUGGCCUUUAUAUCCAGGGCUGCACACGUGCUACAAUGGUUGUUACAGAGGGAAGCAAUGCCGCGAGGCGGAGCUGAUCCGGAAAAGCAACCCUAGUUCGGAUUGCAGUCUGCAACUCGACUGCAUGAAGCCGGAAUCGCUAGUAAAGGCGUAUCAGCCACGACGCCUUGAAUAUGUUCCCGGGCCUUGUACACACCGCCCGUCACAUCAUGGGAGUUGAUUGCACCCGAAGCUGCUGACUGAGCCUGCAAAGGACGGAGGCAUCUAAGGUGUGGUUGACGACUGGGAUGAAGUCGUAACAAGGUAGCC
rnacentral:rRNA from 1 species